rnacentral:rRNA from 1 species
UGGGGAAUAUUGCACAAUGGGCGGAAGCCUGAUGCAGCAACGCCGCGUGCGGGAUGACGGCCUUCGGGUUGUAAACCGCUUUCGCCUGUGACGAAGCGUGAGUGACGGUAAUGGGUAAAGAAGCACCGGCUAACUACGUGCCAGCAGCCGCGGUGAUACGUAGGGUGCGAGCGUUGUCCGGAUUUAUUGGGCGUAAAGGGCUCGUAGGUGGUUGAUCGCGUCGGAAGUGUAAUCUUGGGGGCUUAACCCUGAGCGUGCUUUCGAUACGGGUUGACUUGAGGAAGGUAGGGGAGAAUGGAAUUCCUGGUGGAGCGGUGGAAUGCGCAGAUAUCAGGAGGAACACCAGUGGCGAAGGCGGUUCUCUGGGCCUUUCCUGACGCUGAGGAGCGAAAGCGUGGGGAGCGAACAGGCUUAGAUACCCUGGUAGUCCACGCUGUAAAACGGUGGGUACUAGGUGUGGGGUCCAUUCCACGGGUUCCGUGCCGUAGCUAACGCUUUAAGUACCCCGCCUGGGGAGUACGGCCGCAAGGCUAAAACUCAAAUGAAUUGACGGGGGUCAUAGCUGUUUCCU